AUUCCAUACUGAAUAUACCGGUUCUCCGAAGUUAAGCAUUAUUGGGCGCGGUCAGUACUUGGGUGGGUGACCACCUGGGAACACUGCGUGCCGUU